GAAGGACUUUGGUUAACUACUCGAAGGGAGUGAGAGAAGGAAAAAAACGGCCAGUGGUCAUUUUUAUUAUGCAGUAGUGUUCUAGGCCUGUGGGGCUGGCCGCAAGAGGCUGGCGUUAAAGGGGGAAGGGCGGGGCUUAUGGAGCUGUCUCCUAAAAAUCCGUUAUUGUUAGUAGAAACAUAGUGCAUCGAGUAAACAAUCGAGAGAACACAUCAACGAUAUAUACGCAAAACCAUCACAGCACGACCACCCCCCGACGCGGAAAACUGCGCACGGACCACUGAAAGCCGAGAGACGCAGCGGUCAGGAAAGGACGUUCGCAGUGCGGUGAGAGUGAACGCGGAAGGGGGUGGAACGCGGGAGACGUUAGUGACCGCCGGCUGGCGGAGUCUCGCGGAAGAAGAUGAAGAUUGUUUUUCACGUGUGCCACCCGCGCGUUGUCGCGAACCUCUGGUAAGAGUGCAAUGUUUCGGUUGACGUCCACUCCGCCCUCCGACUUUUAUCAUGUAUUCUGACGGUCACUAUGAGGGUCAGCAAAUAUAAAAUACGAUAAAAGUAUGCAGAAGAAACCCUUUCCCCUCACUU
ensembl:ncRNA F13D11.21 ncRNA